rnacentral:lncRNA from 1 species
UUCUUAUUGUACCAACAAUAGAGGUUUUUGCAUAGUAGAACUCACUCAGUAAAGAUCUAAUCCUUUAGUUAUGAAAUCUAAGUAAAGUAAUGAGCAAACCCCAUCUUUGGGUCUUCUAGUCUCUCACUAGAAGUGAACAUGACCCCUAUUGGCAUAUGAUAUGUAGCAUUUUCUUCUUAUAAGAAUAGCACAGAAUCUUCCUCCCUUUGCAAUGGAGCCAACCAGCUUUGAGUGUUUUCAUGUGGUCCUUGAGCCUGGUUCAGGUUUUUCCUUGGAAGGGAUGGCACUGGGUCUAUUGGAUAAAUAUUAGACCAAGGUAGGUUUCAACCUAGUAUGUGGAGGUUUUCCAGCUUUUCACAUGCAUACAUUCAUAUGCAUGCUUACAUGCAUUAAUUUAUUUCAUCAUCAUAAUAGUCCAAUGAGAUAAGUACUAUUGUUUUCCCAUUUCCCAUUAUUUAGAAAACUGAGAUGCAGAGAACUUAAACAAGGUGCCCAAAUGGUAUGGCUCCAGAGACUUAUUCUAACCCAGUAUGUUAGAUUGCCCUUCAAAGAAAUAAACUAUUCUGUGGAGUACUAAGGACAAUGUGAUUUGGAGGUAUUCAAAUAGAUGUUGAAAUUCUUAAUAUAGCACAUGUUGUAGAGAAUAUCCCUGCAUUGGUUGUGUUCCUACAUCACUUUGUUCAGACUCUUAUAAUAGCUGUGGUUACCACCUAUAAGAGAUAGUUGUUAAAUAGCCUGUUUUUGUUUGUUUGUUUGCUUCCAUUAUUGCUUUUUCCCGCAACUCAGAAUUUCUUUAUCACAAGAAAUGGAUCUUAGCUUUACAUCUUCAGUGUCUGCCACAAUAUCUGAGAUGUGGUAGGUUUGUAAGAAAAAUCUUCUACAUUUGUUGAUUACCUCAGGGCUUGACAACAGAAGUCUUCAAAGGAGGAGAUGAAGAAUGUACCGUACUCUUGAAUCCCUCUAAGUCAAGGGCAUUUUGCUUUCUGGAGCCUUGCUUAGCAAAUAUGAUGCCAUCACUAAUGCCUUCUCAGUUCUGAAGAUCAGAUGGCAUGACUUCUGGAGAGGUUCCCCAGUGGGCCCCUACACAGGCCUGGAGUCCAUCAAGGACAAUCUUUAGGAGUCAGAUAAAUCAAGUUACAAUGACCCAACCAUGCUCAGUCAGUCGAAUCCCUUGAGUAGCUAAAGACACUAAUACAUCUUUUGGAGGGAAGACAUUGCAUUGUGCAAUGGGAUAGAUAAUAGACUUUCUUCAGGUCAGCAUGGAUGAGAGCAAGAGCAAGUCUUUAAAAUUUCCAUUAGCUUUUGAUAAUUCUUUCUAAUUUAAAGAAAGAACAAAGAAAGAAUUUAUAAAACAUAAUUUAAACAGAAAUGAGAUUUACAAUGGAUUGUUCUAAAUACCAGAUUUAAAAAAAAAAAAAAAGCAAGCAGUGAGAGUCCUGCAGGCAUUGGGAAGUAGGCAAGAUCACUCUUUACUGUUAAGAAGGGCUUCUGAGGGGAGAUCUCUCAAGCUGGAAGGAUUGACACCUUAGCAGCAGUCUCUUCUAUGAACAAAAAUAUGUUCAGCAGACUCAGCAGGCUUUGGAGCCCCAAAGAUCUGGUGCAGACUCUGGGUCCUUUAAUCAGCUGUUAGAUUCAUGUACCUCAGUUUGUUCUAGAAAAUGAGGAUAAUAAUGUCUUCCUCAAGGACACUGGAGGGGAUAUGGGAUAAUGUAUAGAAAAAGCAUGUCACGAGCAGCCUGUAAGUACUGCGUGCCAUCUCCAGAGCGGUGGCACUAGCAACUCUUUUCUCUCACAGAGGCUAGAGCACUAGUGCCAGGAUGCUGUAAACAGGACUCUCAUGUAGACUGGGAAAUGGGUUAGUUGACAGCUCAGCCAUAGGAUUCUUUGAUUCUAUUCCAUCAGCUGCUGAGUUACUAUUUCUACUCUCUCUUACCGUAUCUAACUUCUAUAUGGAUUAUACCCUCUAUUGAGUAUUUGUGACUUCAUACAUUUUUUUAAAGAGUUUAUUUAUUUGAGAGACAGAGGAAGAGGGUAUGAGCAGGGGGAGGGGCAGAGGGAGAGGGAGAAGCAGGCUCCCUGUUGAGUAGGGGUGCCUAAGCUGGGGCUCUAUCUCAGGACCCUGAGGUUAUUACCUGAGCAGAAGACAGAUGCUUGAUGGACUGAGCCACUGGGAGCCCCAAUUUCAUGCCUUUUAAUAAACCAUUUAACCAGCCAUCCCUCCCACUCACCACAUGACAAUGGGAGUCUUUCUAAUACAAGUCUGUGUGUCUAUCUGCCUGCAUCAAUCUGUCCUCCAUCAGUUUAUCUAUCUGUCCCUCCCUCUGUCCAUCCAUCUCUUUUCUCUUUUAAUUGUUCUAGCUCCUCUCAUAGCUUUACCUUUAUUUCCCCUGCUCUCAUCUCUCCUGCUGAACUUUUUGAGGGUGUGACUCUUUUGGGGUUUAAUGCAGACUAUCCUUGUUAACUGAAGUAUCUAAUAAGCUCUUUGUGACCCAACCUGGUCUUAGUUGUCUUUGUACGUUUCAAAGGGCCUAAGAUUAUAGAGGAGAAAGUAACAUUUGUAAAGCACUUACUUGAUACCAAGCACUGUGCUAGGUAUCUUAUCUG